CUCUGGAAAUAGGAACCGUAGCGGGUGAUAGUCCCGUAUUCGAAAUGCGAUGUGUGGAACUAAGCGUGCGACAAGUAGGGCGGGACACGAGAAAUCCUGUCUGAAUAUGGGGGGACCAUCCUCCAAGGCUAAAUACUCGUAAUCGACCGAUAGUGAACCAGUACCGUGAGGGAAAGGCGAAAAGAACCCCGGAAGGGGAGUGAAAUAGAUCCUGAAACCGUGUGCAUACAAACAGUAGGAGCGGACUUGUUCCGUGACUGCGUACCUUUUGUAUAAUGGGUCAGCGACUUACAUUCAGUGGCAAGGUUAACCGAUUAGGGAAGCCGUAGAGAAAUCGAGUCCGAAUAGGGCGUUCAGUCGCUGGGUGUAGACCCGAAACCAAGUGAUCUACUCAUGGCCAGGAUGAAGGUGCGGUAACACGCACUGGAGGUCCGAACCCACUAAUGUUGAAAAAUUAGGGGAUGAGCUGUGGGUAGGGGUGAAAGGCUAAACAAACUUGGAAAUAGCUGGUUCUCUCCGAAAACUAUUUAGGUAGUGCCUCAAGUAUCACCAUCGGGGGUAGAGCACUGUUAUGGCUAGGGGGUCAUCGCGACUUACCAAACCAUUGCAAACUCCGAAUACCGAUGAGUGCGAGCUUGGGAGACAGACGUCGGGUGCUAACGUCCGGCGUCAAGAGGGAAACAACCCAGACCGCCAGCUAAGGUCCCAAAGAUUGGCUAAGUGGAAAACGAAGUGGGAAGGCUAAAACAGUCAGGAUGUUGGCUUAGAAGCAGCCAUCAUUUAAAGAAAGCGUAAUAGCUCACUGAUCGAGUCGUCCUGCGCGGAAGAUGUAACGGGGCUAAGCCAGUCACCGAAGCUGCGGAUAUGCGUAAGCAUA
rnacentral:rRNA from 1 species